GUGGGGAAUUUUGGACAAUGGGCGCAAGCCUGAUCCAGCAAUGCCGCGUGCAGGAAGAAGGCCUUCGGGUUGUAAACUGCUUUUGUACGGAACGAAACGGUCCUGGCUAAUAUCCGGGGCUAAUGACGGUACCGUAAGAAUAAGCACCGGCUAACUACGUGCCAGCAGCCGCGGUAAUACGUAGGGUGCAAGCGUUAAUCGGAAUUACUGGGCGUAAAGCGUGCGCAGGCGGUUUUGUAAGACAGGCGUGAAAUCCCCGGGCUCAACCUGGGAAUUGCGCUUGGGACUGCAAGACUGGAGUGCGGCAGAGGGGGAUGGAAUUCCGCGUGUAGCAGUGAAAUGCGUAGAUAUGCGGAGGAACACCGAUGGCGAAGGCAAUCCCCUGGGCCUGCACUGACGCUCAUGCACGAAAGCGUGGGGAGCAAACAGGAUUAGAUACCCGGGUAGUCC
rnacentral:rRNA from 1 species